rnacentral:rRNA from 2 species
UUAAGUUAGAAAGGGCGCACGGUGGAUGCCUUGACACUAGGAGUCGAUGAAGGACGGGACUAACGCCGAUAUGCUUCGGGGAGCUGUAAGUAAGCUUUGAUCCGAAGAUUUCCGAAUGGGGAAACCCACCAUACGUAAUGGUAUGGUAUCCUUAUCUGAAUACAUAGGGUAAGGAAGACAGACCCAGGGAACUGAAACAUCUAAGUACCUGGAGGAAGAGAAAGCAAAUGCGAUUUCCUGAGUAGCGGCGAGCGAAACGGAACAUAGCCCAAACCAAGAGGCUUGCCUCUUGGGGUUGUAGGACAUUCUAUACGGAGUUACAAAGGAACGAGGUAGACGAAGCGACCUGGAAAGGUCCGUCGUAGAGGGUAACAACCCCGUAGUCGAAACUUCGUUCUCUCUUGAAUGUAUCCUGAGUACGGCGGAACACGUGAAAUUCCGUCGGAAUCUGGGAGGACCAUCUCCCAAGGCUAAAUACUCCCUAGUGAUCGAUAGUGAACCAGUACCGUGAGGGAAAGGUGAAAAGCACCCCGGAAGGGGAGUGAAAGAGAUCCUGAAACCGUGUGCCUACAAAUAGUCAGAGCCCGUUAACGGGUGAUGGCGUGCCUUUUGUAGAAUGAACCGGCGAGUUACGAUCCCGUGCGAGGUUAAGCUGAAGAGGCGGAGCCGCAGCGAAAGCGAGUCUGAAUAGGGCGUUUAGUACGUGGUCGUAGACCCGAAACCAGGUGAUCUACCCAUGUCCAGGGUGAAGUUCAGGUAACACUGAAUGGAGGCCCGAACCCACGCACGUUGAAAAGUGCGGGGAUGAGGUGUGGGUAGCGGAGAAAUUCCAAUCGAACCUGGAGAUAGCUGGUUCUCCCCGAAAUAGCUUUAGGGCUAGCCUUAAGUGUAAGAGUCUUGGAGGUAGAGCACUGAUUGGACUAGGGGUCCUCAUCGGAUUACCGAAUUCAGUCAAACUCCGAAUGCCAAUGACUUAUCCUUAGGAGUCAGACUGCGAGUGAUAAGAUCCGUAGUCAAAAGGGAAACAGCCCAGACCGCCAGCUAAGGUCCCAAAGUGUGUAUUAAGUGGAAAAGGAUGUGGAGUUGCUUAGACAACUAGGAUGUUGGCUUAGAAGCAGCCACCAUUUAAAGAGUGCGUAAUAGCUCACUAGUCGAGUGACUCUGCGCCGAAAAUGUACCGGGGCUAAAUACACCACCGAAGCUGCGGAUUGAUACCAAUGGUAUCAGUGGUAGGGGAGCGUUCUAAGGACAGUGAAGUCAGACCGGAAGGACUGGUGGAGUGCUUAGAAGUGAGAAUGCCGGUAUGAGUAGCGAAAGACGGGUGAGAAUCCCGUCCACCGAAUGCCUAAGGUUUCCUGAGGAAGGCUCGUCCGCUCAGGGUUAGUCAGGACCUAAGCCGAGGCCGACAGGCGUAGGCGAUGGACAACAGGUUGAUAUUCCUGUACCACCUCUUUAUCGUUUGAGCAAUGGAGGGACGCAGAAGGAUAGAAGAAGCGUGCGAUUGGUUGUGCACGUCCAAGCAGUUAGGCUGAUAAGUAGGCAAAUCCGCUUAUCGUGAAGGCUGAGCUGUGAUGGGGAAGCUCCUUAUGGAGCGAAGUCUUUGAUUCCCCGCUGCCAAGAAAAGCUUCUAGCGAGAUAAAAGGUGCCUGUACCGCAAACCGACACAGGUAGGCGAGGAGAGAAUCCUAAGGUGUGCGAGAGAACUCUGGUUAAGGAACUCGGCAAAAUGACCCCGUAACUUCGGGAGAAGGGGUGCUUUCUUAACGGAAAGCCGCAGUGAAUAGGCCCAAGCGACUGUUUAGCAAAAACACAGCUCUCUGCGAAGCCGUAAGGCGAAGUAUAGGGGGUGACACCUGCCCGGUGCUGGAAGGUUAAGGAGAGGGGUUAGCGUAAGCGAAGCUCUGAACUGAAGCCCCAGUAAACGGCGGCCGUAACUAUAACGGUCCUAAGGUAGCGAAAUUCCUUGUCGGGUAAGUUCCGACCCGCACGAAAGGUGUAACGAUUUGGGCACUGUCUCAACCAGAGACUCGGUGAAAUUAUAGUACCUGUGAAGAUGCAGGUUACCCGCGACAGGACGGAAAGACCCCGUGGAGCUUUACUGUAGCCUGAUAUUGAAUUUUGGUACAGUUUGUACAGGAUAGGCGGGAGCCUUUGAAACCGGAGCGCUAGCUUCGGUGGAGGCGCUGGUGGGAUACCGCCCUGACUGUAUUGAAAUUCUAACCUACGGGUCUUAUCGACCCGGGAGACAGUGUCAGGUGGGCAGUUUGACUGGGGCGGUCGCCUCCUAAAGUGUAACGGAGGCGCCCAAAGGUUCCCUCAGAAUGGUUGGAAAUCAUUCGUAGAGUGCAAAGGCAUAAGGGAGCUUGACUGCGAGACCUACAAGUCGAGCAGGGACGAAAGUCGGGCUUAGUGAUCCGGUGGUUCCGCAUGGAAGGGCCAUCGCUCAACGGAUAAAAGCUACCCCGGGGAUAACAGGCUUAUCUCCCCCAAGAGUCCACAUCGACGGGGAGGUUUGGCACCUCGAUGUCGGCUCAUCGCAUCCUGGGGCUGUAGUCGGUCCCAAGGGUUGGGCUGUUCGCCCAUUAAAGCGGUACGCGAGCUGGGUUCAGAACGUCGUGAGACAGUUCGGUCCCUAUCCGUCGUGGGCGUAGGAAAUUUGAGAGGAGCUGUCCUUAGUACGAGAGGACCGGGAUGGACGCACCGCUGGUGUACCAGUUGUUCUGCCAAGGGCAUAGCUGGGUAGCUAUGUGCGGAAGGGAUAAGUGCUGAAAGCAUCUAAGCAUGAAGCCCCCCUCAAGAUGAGAUUUCCCAUAGCGUAAGCUAGUAAGAUCCCUGAAAGAUGAUCAGGUUGAUAGGUUCGAGGUGGAAGCAUGGUGACAUGUGGAGCUGACGAAUACUAAUAGAUCGAGGACUUAACC